rnacentral:rRNA from 1 species
UACGAAGGGUGCAAGCGUUAAUCGGAAUUACUGGGCGUAAAGCGCGCGUAGGUGGUUCAGCAAGUUGGAUGUGAAAGCCCUGGGCUCAACCUGGGAACUGCAUCCAAAACUACUGAGCUAGAGUACGGUAGAGGGUAGUGGAAUUUCCUGUGUAGCGGUGAAAUGCGUAGAUAUCGGGAGGAACAUCAGUGGCGAAGGCGACCGCCUGGCCCAACACUGACGCUGAGGUGCGAAAGCGUGGGUAGCAAACAGGAUUAGAAACCCGAGUAGU